rnacentral:rRNA from 1 species
GGCCUUUAGUGUAUGAUUUAAGGUCUGACCUGCCCAAUGAUUAUUUUGAAUGGCCGCAGUAUUUUGACUGUGCAAAGGUAGCAUAAUCAUUAGUUUUUUAAUUGAAAGCUGGAAUGAAUGGUUUGAUGAAAAAAUAACUGUCUCAAUAAAAUUUAUUUAGAAUUUUAAUUUUAAGUGAGAAAGCUUAAAUGUUUUAUGAAGACGAGAAGACCCUAUAGAGUUUAAUAAUAUCAUUAUUAUUUAUUUUAGGUUUUAUUUUCAUAUUAAUAUAAAUAUUAUUUUGUUGGGGUGACAGAAAAAUUUAAGUAACUUUUUAUGUUUUAUAACAUUAAUUUAUGGGUUUUUGAUCCUGAUUUUUGGAUUAAAAGAUUAAAUUACCUUAGGGAUAACAGCGUAAUUUCUUUGGAGAGUUCUUAUCGAUAAAGAAGUUUGCGA